UACGGAGGGGGCUAGCGUUGUUCGGAAUACUGGGCGUAAAGCGCACGUAGGCGGCUUUGUAAGUUAGAGGUGAAAGCCUGGAGCUCAACUCCAGAACUGCCUUUGAGACUGCAUCGCUUGAAUCCAGGAGAGGUGAGUGGAAUUCCGAGUGUAGAGGUGAAAUUCGUAGAUAUUCGGAAGAACACCAGUGGCGAAGGCGGCUCACUGGACUGGUAUUGACGCUGAGGUGCGAAAGCGUGGGGGAGCAAACAGG
rnacentral:rRNA from 1 species